rnacentral:rRNA from 1 species
AACGAACGCUGGCGGCAUGCCUAACACAUGCAAGUCGAACGAGACCGUCGGGUCUAGUGGCGCACGGGUGCGUAACGCGUGGGAACCUGCCCUUAGGUUCGGAAUAACUCCCCGAAAGGGGUGCUAAUACCGGAUAAUGUCUUCGGACCAAAGAUUUAUCGCCUUUGGAUGGGCCCGCGUUGGAUUAGCUAGUUGGUAGGGUAAAAGCCUACCAAGGCGACGAUCCAUAGCUGGUCUGAGAGGAUGAUCAGCCACACUGGGACUGCGACACGGCCCAGAAUCCUACGGGAGGGAGCAGUGGGGAAUAUUGGACAAUGGGCGAAAGCCUGAUCCAGCAAUGCCGCGUGAGUGAUGAAGGCCUUAGGGUUGUAAAGCUCUUUUACCCGGGAUGAUAAUGACAGUACCGGGAGAAUAAGCACCGGCUAACUCCGUG